GCCUAGGUGGCUCAGUUGGUUGAGCGUCUAACUUCGGCUCAGGUCAUGAUCUCACAGCUCGUGAGUUCAAGCCCCGCAUUAGGCU
rnacentral:tRNA from 1 species